rnacentral:misc_RNA from 1 species
GAUGAAGAACGUAGCGAAAUGCGAUAAGUAAUGUGAAUUACAGAAUUCAGUGAAUCAUCGAAUCUUUGAACGCACAUUGCGCCCGGCAGUACUCUGCCGGGCAUGCCUGUUCGAGCGUCAUUUCAACCCUCAAGCCCUGCUUGGUGUUGGGGUCCCACGGCCGCCGUGGGCCCUGAAAGGAAGUGGCGGGCUCGCUACAACUCCGAGCGUAGUAAUUCAUUAUCUCGCUUAGGGCGUUGGGCGGCGCUCCUGCCGUUAAAGAACCAUCUUUAACUCAAGGUUGACCUCGGAUCAGGUAGGAAUACCCGCUGAACUUAAGCAUAUCAAUAAGCGGAGGA